rnacentral:tRNA from 1 species
GGCCCGUUGGUGAAGUGGCUUAACACACUGCCCUUUCACGGCAGCAUUCAUGGGUUCGAAUCCCAUACGGGUCACCA